ensembl:antisense
GAAUCUUUACGGUUCCGGCUGUGAGGUCCGCACGGGUGGUACCGAUUCCUCUUCAUAGAGGCCCUGAGGUGUCGUGGAAGGACGCAGGGAUCCCGGUUCGCCGGCGUCGCAGCUCGCCUGGCCCAGUCUGCGCGAAGAGCGAGGCAGGAAGCCACAGUGAUUGGGAACUCUGUGGUUGUAUGCAACGUAAGGAUUCUUCAGAGAGCACUCAUAGUUUAAGAGGCGUGUGUAAACUGUAAACUCAAGGAACCCCUGUGACUCUCAUCAGUGUAGAGUGCACCCUCCCACGAGACAGGAGCUUCCUCUGUUGAAUCAGCUUGUAGAAGACUUUAAUGUGAUCCCAAAUGUUACUCACCAGAAAACAGGCUUGUGGGACAAAUCUGUUGAAUGCACCAACUUCCUUAAUCAGUUAUAUUUUAAGGCACAUAUGAGAAUCCAUAAUGGAGAAAAAUUCUUUGAACUGACUCAAUUUUCAGGAGAUUUUACAUGUUCUACAAGGGGAGUUCUGCCUAUCAAAUGUACAUCAUAAAAGCCUUUGAAUGUAAAAUUUGUGAGAAAGUCUUUGGGUAUUCUUUAAGUCUUAAUAGUCACAUGCAAACACACACUGGGGAGAAACAUUAUGAAUGUAAAAUAUGUAAAAAAUUCUUCACUACUUCUUCAAGUCUAACUGAACACUUCAGAAUUCAUACUAGAGAGAAACCUUAUAAAUGUAAGGAAUAUGGAAACGCUUUUACUAAGCACUCAAGACUUUCUUCACGUGUAUAAACACAUUCGGGAAAGAAGUCUUGUGUAUGUAAGUUAUGUGGGAGAUCCUUCAUGAUUCCUUCAAAUAUGACUGAGCAUUUCAGAAUUCAUACUGGAGAGAAACCCUACCAAAGUAAAGAAUGUGAUAAAUGUGAUAAGCGUGGGAAAGCUUUCCAUACUUCCUCCUACCUAUGGAAACAUGAAAGAACUCACAGUGCAGAGAAACCUUAUGAAUGUAGGGAAUGUGGCAAAGCCUACAAAAGGUGUUAUCUAUUGCAUGCACAUUUAAAAACUCACAUGGUAAGAAACCCUUUGAUUGCAAGGUAUGUUGGAAAAUCUUUUAAACGUUCUGCAUGCUGUAAUAAGCACAUUCAUCCUCACAGUGGAGUCAAACCUUGUAAAUGUAAGUACUGUGGGAAAGACUUCACUGUUUCCUCAAGUCUGAUUGGACAAAUAAGAACACACUGGAGAGAGACCCUAUAAAUGUAAAGAAUGUGGGAAAGCCUUUACUACAGCCUCAUGUAGGGUUGUCCAUAAGAGAACUCACACUGGAGAGAAACGCUAUGAAUGUAAGGAGUGUGGGAAAGCUCACAAGAGGUAUUACCUACUGACUGGACAUGUAAAGACUCACAUGGGGGAAAAGCCUUUUGAAUAUAAGUUCACUGUUUCUUCUAGCCUAGUUGAACAUAUAAGGACUCAGAGGUGAGAAGCCCUACAAAUGUGAGGAAUGUGGGAAAGCUUUUACAACAUUCUCAGACCUCUGUCACCAUGCACAGAUUCAUGAUAGAGAGGUUUCCGCUAAGUAUCAAAAAUGUGCAAAAAUGCAGUAAGUUUAUCUACUAACGGAACACUUAAUAAAUCAGUCUGAACAGAAACCCCUUGGUUGGAAAGAAUGUCGAAAGCCCUUCAAGAAUUCUCCACAUCUUAAUCAUCAUAAUGGAGUUUACACUGGUGAGAAGCCUUAUUAAUGUAAGAAGUGUGGGUUAACCUUCAAACCAGCUCACUUAAAAGACAUAAAAGCUCUCUUGUUCUCAAGAUGCCCGUGAAUUUAAGAAACACAUGAGAGCCAUUGGAAUGUCAUUAAAGUGCACUAUUAUAUAAGCUCCCCCUGGAGCCAUGUGAUGUCACAAGUAUGAAAGCCCUACUUGCUGAGGACGUAAGAUUUUACAGUGGAGAAACUGUUGUGAGUAACAUGGAAAAGGGGUCAUUCUGCUAAACUCUUUACAUUCACUGUCAUCUCACAGUGGAGAUGAUGAAGGUAAGGAAGGUUGCAAACUCAAUUUUCUCUGCAUAUUGUUCAACCUUUAAUAAAAAUGGUGGUUUAUAACCAAG